rnacentral:misc_RNA from 1 species
AACAGUAUUACUGUUGUUGAUGUUGUUGUUGUUGCUCUGAGGCUUUGGAACUGAAGGGAAUUGAAGAUGGUGGUGAUGAAUCUCAUCCUCGUGAGUCAAAUCUGAGGAUGGAACACUUUCAAUGCUAUCUAAUUCCAUUCAUAAGAUUAACCCCAAACCCCCAAAAAGAGAGAAAGCAAAGUAAUUUUCCAAGUUUAAGGCGUAUUCUCUGAUAAGUAUUCACAAUUCUCUAUGAUCCAUUCCUGGAAGAAAAGAAACAGUGUCUUUCCUAAUCGGUGAGCGAGAGAGAAAUAAUGCAGAUAGACAUUGCAAGAGUCAGCCGAUGAACAUCAAAGGGUUUCAGGCGAGAGAGAGA